ensembl:lncRNA
UAAGAUUUACCUUAAGCAUGUUCCUUUGACAGUCUGUGACUAUAUGCCUUGGCGAAGUUCUUUUUGUAUAGUAUCUCACAAGUGUUCUCUGGAUUUAUUGUAUCUGGUUUCCUAGCUCUUUAGCAAGAUCAAGGAAAUUGUCUUGAAUUAAUUCCUCAAAUAUGUUUUCCAAGUGGUUUAUCUUUUCUCCUUCUCUUUCAGGAAUGCCAAUAAUUUGUAGGUUUGGUCACUUUACAUAAUUCCAUAUUUCUUGAAGACUUUGUUAAUUUUUCUCAAUUCAUUUUUCCUUAUUUUUGUCUGACUGGGUUACUUUGAGAGAAUAGUAUUCAAGCUCAGAAAUUCUUUCUUCUACUUGGUCUAAUCUAUUGAUAAAAUUUCAGUUGUAUUUUGAAAUUUUUUAAAUGAGUCUUUCAAUUCCAGAAACUGAUUGAUUCUUUGUAAGAUGUUUAUCUCUUCCUUCAUUUCCUGAAUUGACUUUGACAUUUCUUUAUGUUAAUUUUCAACAUUGUCUUAGAUCUCAUUGAGCUUCCUUGCUUUGAGUUUAUUAUCUAUCAUUUCUGAAUUUUCAUAUUUUAUUAGAGGCCGUUGUUGGAGACCUAGUGUGAGCCUUUGGUGAUGUCACAGAUUUCAGAUUUUUCAUGGGGCCAGAAUUCUUGCACUAGUUCCUUCUCAUCUGAAGAUGCUGCCACUUUUAAAUUUUGGACUUAUUUUUAUGCUGAUAGAAUUUUUUUUUCUUCUUUCCUCUGCUUCCUAGCGGCUGUCAUGGCAGAAAAUGUUGGUUGCUUUUCCCUCUUUCUGGCAGCUGGUCUGCUGUUACCUGAGGAUUUGAGCCUUCACCAGCUGCUGUAAAAAGAUUGUCAUCCAGUCUAAUGGAACUCUGAUUGAGGAAGACUGUUCUAAUCAAAAGCAUAAACUGGACUUUAUUUUUCACAAAAUCCAGAGGACUAUUGGCAUGUCAUAGUGAAUUUUGACACUCUUGUUAUAUCCCAGGGUCUCAUAAAUAAAAUUUUCUAGUAGUAUGUCCCCAAAUAAAUGGUUAUUAUUACAUUUUUAUGUACCUUAAUGGGCACACCAAGAACUAAAUAUGAAAUCAUUCUAUUCUGCCCAAGAACAUCAAGAUGAAUCAGAAACCAGCCUUAUAUGACCUUAGAGGAUGUUAAAGAAAUUUCUUUCUUCAAAUGAAAGUAUAUAUUUUUUAUCUGUAUAGCAAGGUCAAAUAUUUUAUGGAAUAUAAGCUUCUUUCAAAUCAGAAUUACAGAAACAUAAAACUAUUCUUCAAGUUAAUUUUUUAAAUUUCCUCCAAAGUUUGCAUAAAGCAAGAUGUAACAACUCUUUGAAAACAACGUUCGUACUGUUACUUCAACUUAGCACACCACAUCUGGCCCAUAGUAGGCCUCAAACUUUUUUCCUUAAAAUGAAUUGAGUAGCACAUAGAACUAAAUCCUGAGUUUCACAUGUGAACAAUGUUGACUAAUGUGAGAGCCAGGCACUGCCCCCAGGCCCUGCCAAUAAAAAGUAAGUAACUUCCUUUUUUACAGGAAAUUUCAAAACUGUAAGCUUCUAACUUAGUACCCAUAGUAUACAUAUAAAAUUUUAGUUACACUGCACUAGAAACCUGGAGAAUCCCUGAAGUCUCAUUGUUUUUGUUGUUGGUGGUGGUGUUGGUGUUAGUUGUUUGGUAUUUAGUGAGGAAAAUGCUAACAGAUGUUUAGUCCUUUUUUCUUUUCUUUUUUUUUUUUUAAGUUCCUGAAUACAUGUGCAGAAAUGCAGGUUUGUUACAUAGGUAAAUGUGUGCCAUGGUGGCUUGCUGCACCUAUCAGUCAACCUAUCACCUAGACAUUAAGCUCUGCAUACAUUAGCUAUUUAUCCUGAUGCUCUUCUUUCUCCCAGCUCCGACAGGCCCCAGUGUGUGUUGUUUCCCUCCCUGUGUCCAUGUUCUUAUUAUUCAGCUCCCACUUAAAAGUGAGAACCUGCAGGCUGGGCGCUGUGGCUCAUGCCUGUAAUCCUAGCACUUUACGAGACUGAGGUGGGUGGAUUACCUGAGGUCAGGAGUUCGAGACCACCCUGGCCAACAUGGUGAAACCCUGUCUCUACUAAAAAUACAAAAAUUAGCCAGGCGUAGUGGCGUACGCCUGUAGUCUCAGCUACUCGGGAGGCUGAGGCAGGAGAAUCUCUUGAACCUGGGAGGCGGAGGUUGCCGUAAGCCAAGAUCGCACGACUGCAAUUCAGCCUGGAUGGCAAGAGUGAAACUCCACCUCAGAAAAAAAAAGUGAGAUUUUCUGUUCCUGUGUGAGUUUGUUCCAUGUCCCUGCAAAGGACAUGAUCUGGUUUUAUUUGUUUGUUUUGGUUUAUUUUAUGGCUGCAUAGCAAUCCAUGGUGUAUACAUACCACAUUUUCUUUAUCCAGUCUAUCACUGAUUGGCAUUUUGGGUUGAUUCCCUGUCUUUGCUAUUGUGAAUAGUGCUGCAAUGAAC